rnacentral:rRNA from 1 species
UUGGAGGGCAAGUCUGGUGCCAGCAGCCGCGGUAAUUCCAGCUCCAAUAGCGUAUAUUAAAGUUGUUGCAGUUAAAAAGCUCGUAGUUGAAUUUCGGGAUCAGUAUGUUGGUCGUGCUUCGGUACGUACUGUCAUUACUGGUUUCUACCUUCUGAAGAACCUUGAUGUCAUUAAUUUGGUGUCUUGGGGAAUCAGGACUGUUACUUUGAAAAAAUUAGAGUGUUUAAAGCAAGCAUACGCUUGAAUACAUUAGCAUGGAAUAAUGAAAUAGGACGUUUGAUUCUAUUUUGUUGGUUUCUAGGAUCGACGUAAUGAUUAAUAGGGAUAGUUGGGGGCAUUAGUAUUCAAUUGUCAGAGGUGAAAUUCUUGGAUUUAUUGAAGACUAACUACUGCGAAAGCAUUUGCCAAGGAUGUUUUCAUUAAUCAAGAGCGGAAGUUAGGGGAUCGAAGACGAUCAGAUACCGUCGUAGUCUUAACCAUAAACUAUGCCGACUAGGAAUCAGACGAUGUUAAUUUUUUAAUGACUCGUUUGGCACCUUACGGGAAACCAAAGUGUUUGGGUUC